rnacentral:rRNA from 1 species
CAAUAGCGUAUAUUAAAGUUGUUGCAGUUAAAAGCUCGUAGUUGGAUUUCUGCCGAGGACGACCGGUCCGCCCUCUGGGUGCGUAUCUGGCUCGGCCUGGGCAUCUUCUUGGAGAACGUAUCUGCACUUGACUGUGUGGUGCGGUAUUCAGGAGUUUUAAUUUGAGGAAAUUAGAGUGUUUCAAGCAGGCAUACGCCUUGAAUACAUUAGCAUUGAAUAAUAAGAUAGGACCUCGGUUCUAUUUUGUUGGUUUCUAGAUCUGAGGUAAUGGUUAAUAGGGAUAGUUGGGGGCAUUAGUAUUUAAUUGUCAGAGGUGGAAUUCUCGGAUUUGUUAAAGACUAACUUAUGCGAAAGCAUUUGCCAAGGAUGUUUUCAUUAAUCAAGAACGAAAGUUAGGGGAUCAAAGACGAUUAGAUACCGU